rnacentral:rRNA from 1 species
UACGUAGGGUGCAAGCGUUAAUCGGAAUUACUGGGCGUAAAGCGUGCGCAGGCGGCUUUGCAAGACAGAUGUGAAAUCCCCGGGCUCAACCUGGGAACUGCAUUUGUGACUGCAUGGCUAGUGUACGGUAGAGGGGGAUGGAAUUCCGCGUGUAGCAGUGAAAUGCGUAGAUAUGCGGAGGAACACCGAUGGCGAAGGCAAUCCCCUGGACCUGUACUGACGCUCAUGCACGAAAGCGUGGGGAGCAAACAGG